GAUGAACGCUGGCGGCGUGCCUAAUACAUGCAAGUCGAGCGAACAGAUGAGGAGCUUGCUCCUCUGACGUUAGCGGCGGACGGGUGAGUAACACGUGGAUAACCUACCUAUAAGACUGGGAUAACUUCGGGAAACCGGAGCUAAUACCGGAUAAUAUAUUGAACCGCAUGGUUCAAUAGUGAAAGACGGUUUUGCUGUCACUUAUAGAUGGAUCCGCGCCGCAUUAGCUAGUUGGUAAGGUAACGGCUUACCAAGGCAACGAUGCGUAGCCGACCUGAGAGGGUGGUAGGCCACAUAGGAACUGAGACUCAGUCCGGGCUCAAUCGGGAGGCAGCAGUGGUGAUUGGUCCACGAUGGGCAAGAGCCUGACAGAGACAAUGCGCAUGAGAGAUGAAGAGCUUGGAAUACUAAAACCCUGUUAUUAGGGUAAAACAAAUGAGUAAGUACAUAUGAACGUCUGGACGGUACCUAAUUAGAAAGCAACGGAUAACUACGUG
rnacentral:rRNA from 1 species